ensembl:lncRNA
GUGAGUGUCCAUCGGCCCCGUCUUUAUACCUGUUAAGGGUAAAACUUCCAAAAGCAUCACCAAACAGUUGUAGAGAUCAAAGAAGGAGGAAAAAUGGCCUCUCUUCAAUUUUAGCCCCUUCCUCCGUACAGAACAGCUUCAAGUUCAGGACUUUGACUUGGCCAUUACAAAACAUAAACUCUUAUUCUUCUUCUUUUACCAACCUUUGGGAGAUUGAUUUGUGUUUUUGGGGGUUGUGGUCUUGCUGCAUGACCCACGUGUCUUGAGAUUCACUUCAGACAGACAUCCUCACAUUUUCUUUUGGAAUUUGCUGGGAUAAUUCAUAAUGCAUUGAGCUGUCCAGGCCCAGCUGCAAAACAGACCCCAACCAUGAUCCUCCCAUCCCCUCGUGUCACAGAUGGUAUAAGGUUCUUCUGCUUGUGUCACAGAUGGAAUAAGGUUCUUAUGCUUGUGUCACAGAUGGAAUAAGGUUCUUAUGCUUGUUUCACAGAUGGUAUAAGGUUCUUAUGCUUGUUUCACAGAUGGAAUAAGGUUCUUAUGCUUGUUUCACAGAUGGUAUAAGGUUCUUAUGCUGGAAUGCAGUGUUGCCUUUCUCUGAACAUAA